GAUUAACGCUGGCGGCGUGCAUAACACAUGCAAGUCGAACGAUGAAACUUAGUAGACUUCUUCGGAAAGACACUAAGCGGAUUAGUGGCGAAUGGGUGAGUAACGCGUGAGUAACCUGCCUUACACAAGGGGAUAGCCUUUGGAAACGAAGAAUAAUACCCUAUAAAACCAUAAAAGCACAUGCUAGAAUGGUCAAAGUGAUAGCGGUGUAAGAUGGACUUGCGUCUGAUUAGCUAGUUGGUGAGAUAAAAGCUCACCAAGGCAACGAUCAGUAGCCGGCUUGAGAGAGUGUACGGCCACAUUGGGACUGAGACACGGCCCAGACUCCUACGGGAGGCAGCAGUGGGGAAUUUUGCACAAUGGGGGAAACCCUGAUGCAGCGACGCCGCGUGAUUUAGAAGGCCUUCGGGUUGUAAAAAUCUUUUGUAUAGGAAGAAAAUGACAGUACUAUACGAAUAAGGUCCGGCUAAUUACGUG
rnacentral:rRNA from 1 species